CGGCGUGAGCAAUCUGCCUUGGAGUGGGGAAUAACGGUUGGAAACGGCUGCUAAUACCGCAUGACACAUAUUUAUCGCAUGGUAGAUAUUGUCAAAGAUUUAUCGCUGAGAGAUGGCCUCGCGUCUGAUUAGCUAGUUGGUAGGGUAACGGCCUACCAAGGCGACGAUCAGUAGCCGGACUGAGAGGUUGGCCCGGCCACAUUGGGACUGAGAUACGGCCCAGACUCCUACGGGAGGCAGCAG
rnacentral:rRNA from 1 species